rnacentral:rRNA from 1 species
UACACUCCUACGGGAGGCAGCAGUGGGGAAUAUGGGACAAUGGGCGCAAGCCUGAUCCAGCCAUGCCGCGUGAGUGAUGAAGGCCCUAGGGUUGUAAAGCUCUUUCACCGGUGAAGAUAAUGACGGUAACCGGAGAAGAAGCCCCGGCUAACUUCGUGCCAGCAGCCGCGGUAAUACGAAGGGGGCUAGCGUUGUUCGGAUUUACUGGGCGUAAAGCGCACGUAGGCGGACUAUUAAGUCAGGGGUGAAAUCCCGGGGCUCAACCCCGGAACUGCCUUUGAUACUGGUAGUCGUGAGUUCGAGAGAGGUGAGUGGAAUUCCGAGUGUAGAGGUGAAAUUCGUAGAUAUUCGGAGGAACACCAGUGGCGAAGGCGGCUCACUGGCUCGAUACUGACGCUGAGGUGCGAAAGCGUGGGGAGCAAACAGGAUUAGAAACCCUGGUAGUCCCA